rnacentral:rRNA from 1 species
GCUUGCUACCUGACCUAGCGGCGGACGGGUGAGUAAUGCUUAGGAAUCUGCCUAUUAGUGGGGGACAACAUUCCGAAAGGAAUGCUAAUACCGCAUACGCCCUACGGGGGAAAGCAGGGGAUCUUCGGACCUUGCGCUAAUAGAUGAGCCUAAGUCAGAUUAGCUAGUUGGUGGGGUAAAGGCCUACCAAGGCGACGAUCUGUAGCGGGUCUGAGAGGAUGAUCCGCCACACUGGGACUGAGACACGGCCCAGACUCCUACGGGAGGCAGCAGUGGGGAAUAUUGGACAAUGGGCGAAAGCCUGAUCCAGCCAUGCCGCGUGUGUGAAGAAGGCCUUUUGGUUGUAAAGCACUUUAAGCGAGGAGGAGGCUACUUGGAUUAAUACUCUAGGAUAGUGGACGUUACUCGCAGAAUAAGCACCGGCUAACUCUGUGCCAGCAGCCGCGGUAAUACAGAGGGUGCGAGCGUUAAUCGGAUUUACUGGGCGUAAAGCGUGCGUAGGCGGCUUUUUAAGUCGGAUGUGAAAUCCCUGAGCUUAACUUAGGAAUUGCAUUCGAUACUGGGAAGCUAGAGUAUGGGAGAGGAUGGUAGAAUUCCAGGUGUAGCGGUGAAAUGCGUAGAGACCUGGAGGAAUACCGAUGGCGAAGGCAGCCAUCUGGCCUAAUACUGACGCUGAGGUACGAAAGCAUGGGGAGCAAACAGGAUUAGAUACCCUGGUAGUCCAUGCCGUAAACGAUGUCUACUAGCCGUUGGGGCCUUUGAGGCUUUAGUGGCGCAGCUAACGCGAUAAGUAGACCGCCUGGGGAGUACGGUCGCAAGACUAAAACUCAAAUGAAUUGACGGGGGCCCGCACAAGCGGUGGAGCAUGUGGUUUAAUUCGAUGCAACGCGAAGAACCUUACCUGGUCUUGACAUAGUAAGAACUUUCCAGAAAUGGAUUGGUGCCUUCGGGAACUUACAUACAGGUGCUGCAUGGCUGUCGUCAGCUCGUGUCGUGAGAUGUUGGGUUAAGUCCCGCAACGAGCGCAACCCUUUUCCUUAUUUGCCAGCGGGUUAAGCCGGGAACUUUAAGGAUACUGCCAGUGACAAACUGGAGGAAGGCGGGGACGACGUCAAGUCAUCAUGGCCCUUACGACCAGGGCUACACACGUGCUACAAUGGUCGGUACAAAGGGUUGCUACCUAGCGAUAGGAUGCUAAUCUCAAAAAGCCGAUCGUAGUCCGGAUUGGAGUCUGCAACUCGACUCCAGA